CGUUGCUCUAAAUGUGCAUCAAGAUUAACAAGGAGCUGGAAAACCCUCUUGGAGUUUCCUGCUGCUGUCACCUUAGUCACGUACUUGUGUUGGAGAGCUGAAAGGAAACAAAGGCAAUGCUUUGAUGUCCUGGAUUGCCAGGAAAACUGAACCAGUCGCACUCCAGUGCACUUGGAGAGGGUUGUAAGGAUGCAAGGCAGAAUGAGCUCACCUUGCCAGUGGAUGAGAGAGACCAUGAAUAAACCACAGUGGAAUUAGAUUAGCACAGAAGUUAUUCCCCAUUGCUGCAAUCACUGCCUCUGAAGAAACUGCCCAUUUCCAUUCCUUCUCCUCUGAGCUGUGAAGAGGAGCUCAUAGCUCCAGAGUGGCCAGACAUCUGCAUGU